AGGACAUCAAUUCAAAAAUAGGAGGCAAACUUUAUAUUUAUGUUAAAGAAGAGAAAAACAACAGUAUAUGCUUUAGGUCAAUAUUUAUCUAUGUCUGCUCAUAAAGCGCGAAGAGUAAUAGAUCAAAUUCGUGGACGUUCUUAUGAAGAAACACUUAUGAUACUAGAACUCAUGCCUUAUCGAGCAUGUUAUCCCAUUUUUAAAUUGGUUUAUUCUGCAGCAGCAAAUGCUAGUUACAAUAUGGAUUCCAACGAAUCAAAUUUAGUUAUUAGUAAAGCUGAAGUCAGCGAGGGUACUAUCGUGAAGAAAUUAAAACCUCGAGCUCGAGGACGUAGUUUUCCGAUAAAAAGACCUACCUGCCAUAUAAGUAUUGUAGUGAAAGAUAUAUCCUUAGAUGAAUAUAUAGAAGUAGACUUUCUAGACCCUCUCAGAUGGUCAAAAAAACUAAAAUCAAAAAAAAAGUAUACGGCUAUGGCGUAUCAUAAUAUGUAUAGUAAUGGGGGAGUAUGGGACAAAAAAUAAAUCCACUCGGUUUCAGACUUGGUACAACCCAAGGUCAUCAUUCCCUUUGGUUUGCACAACCAAAAAAUUAUUCCGAAGGUUUACAAGAAGAUCAAAAAAUAAGAGAUUUUAUCAAGAAUUAUGUACAAAAAAAUAUGAAAAUUUCCUCUAGCGUUGAGGGAAUUGCACGUAUAGAGAUUCAAAAACGAAUCGAUCUGAUCCAGGUCAUAAUCUAUAUGGGAUUCCCAAAGUUAUUAAUAGAAAGUCGACCGCGAGGAAUCGAAGAAUUGCAGAUGAAUCUACAAAAAGAAUUUAAGUCUGUGAACCAAAAACUUAACAUUGCUAUCACAAGAAUUGCAAAACCUUACGGAAGCCCUAAUAUUCUUGCGGAAUUUAUAGCCGGCCAAUUAAAGAAUAGAGUUUCAUUUCGAAAAGCAAUGAAAAAGGCUAUUGAAUUAACCGAACAAGCAGAUACAAAAGGAAUUCAAGUACAAAUUGCAGGGCGUAUCGACGGAAAAGAAAUUGCGCGUGUGGAAUGGAUCAGAGAAGGUAGGGUUCCCCUGCAAACCAUUCGAGCUAAAAUCGAUUAUUGUUCCUAUACUGUUCGAACUAUUUAUGGAGUAUUAGGCAUCAAAAUUUGGAUAUUUAUAGACGGGGAAGAAUAAACCUUUAUUUGUCUUUCCCUUCGAUCUAGUGAUGGAACAAAAAAGAGAAAUUCGUUCCUUUUUUCUAUUCAAUAAAAACUAAAAUGAAGAAUUCUAAUUCUUAAUUCUAUAUGGUUGAAUAAAAAUUCGAUUAGCCAUUUGAUAUAAUUGCUAUGCUUAGUGUGUGACUCGUUGGUUUUUUUAGGGUUAGGAUUCAAUAAAAAAAAAGACUAGCCUCUUACUAUAAACUAAUAACUAUAGGACUACUAACCAACUCAUCACUUCACAUUAUCUGGAUCCAAAGAACCAGUCAAGAUAUGAUAUAUCGGUCAUAUCGUUGUAGCAACUGAAAUAUUUUUUGCAUAAACAAAAGAAAAAUCAAUCUAAUUCUAAGUUAUAAAGCGAAAUAGAGAACAAAGAUGUGGAUAAAUGGAAGGGUGAAAGAAAGAGAGAGAAAAAUACCAAUGAUCUAGAAUUCCAUCCAAUAUGUAAGGUCUAUGAGUCAUCUCAUAAAAAAGGCAGUGUAAUAAAGCAUCAAUGCUGAUUCGUACAUAAUUAAAUGAAUCUGUUCAUAAAAUAAAAAAAUAAGAGCUUCGAGCCAAUAAAGACUAAGAAGAUUGACUCAAGAAAAAAUUUCAUUAUGAGCUCCAUUGUAGAAAUCAGACCUAACCAUUAAAUAAGAAGCGAUGGGAACGAUGGAACCUAUGAAUCCAAAUCUAUUGAAAACGGAUUCAUUGAUCGGGAUGGCGGAACAAACCAAAGACUAAUUCAUUCAUAUUCAUCUAUUGGGAAAAGAAAAAUCAAGAGCUAACCCUACAACUGAAAUAGCGAUGAAAAGAGUAAAUAUUCGCCUGCGAAACCUUUAUUUUCUUGGAUUGUUAAAUUUGGGUCAAUCGAAGGAAAUAAAAGACAAAACAAAAUAAAGAUUCGUUAUAACAUUAUAAAAAGUCAUACAAUAUUUAAAAUAGAAAUAUUAAUAUGUUUAGUUAUCUAAAAAAACAAGAUAUACAAACGAAUAAUAGAGAAGUUGAAGAUUUUCUUAUUCGCGAGGAGCUGGAUGAGAAGAAACUCUCACGUCCAGUUCUGUAGUAGAGAUGGAAUUCAGAACCAACCAUCAACUAUAACCCCAAAAGAACCAGAUUCCGUAAACAACAUAGAGGAAGAAUGAAGGGAAUAUCUUAUCGAGGUAAUCAUAUUUCUUUCGGUAAAUAUGCUCUUCAGGCACUUGAACCCGCCUGGAUCACAUCUAGACAAAUAGAAGCAGGUCGACGAGCAAUGACACGAAAUGCACGACGUGGUGGAAAAAUAUGGGUACGUAUAUUUCCAGACAAACCGGUUACAGUAAGACCCGCAGAAACACGUAUGGGUUCGGGGAAAGGAUCCCCUGAAUAUUGGGUAGCUGUUGUUAAACCAGGUCGAAUCCUUUAUGAAAUGGGUGGAGUAACAGAAAAUAUAGCCAGAAAGGCUAUUUCAAUAGCAUCGUCUAAAAUGCCUAUACGAACUCAAUUCAUUAUUUCGGCAUAA
rnacentral:lncRNA from 1 species